rnacentral:rRNA from 1 species
ACGGAGGGAGCUAGCGUUGUUCGGAAUUACUGGGCGUAAAGCGUACGUAGGCGGUUAUUCAAGUCAGAGGUGAAAGCCCGGGGCUCAACCCCGGAACGGCCUUUGAAACUAGGUAGCUAGAAUCUUGGAGAGGUCAGUGGAAUUCCGAGUGUAGAGGUGAAAUUCGUAGAUAUUCGGAAGAACACCAGUGGCGAAGGCGACUGACUGGACAAGUAUUGACGCUGAUGUACGAAAGCGUGGGGAGCAAACAGGAUUAGAUACCCUGGUAGUCCACGCCGUAAACGAUGAUAACUAGCUGUUCGGGCACUUGGUGCUUGAGUGGCGCAGCUAACGCAUUAAGUUAUCCGCCUGGGGAGUACGGUCGCAAGAUUA